rnacentral:tRNA from 3 species
GCUGAUGUGGCUCAGAGGUAGAGCACUUCCUUGGUAAGGAAGGGGUCACGAGUUCAAUUCUCGUCAUCAGCU